AGGGCCACAUCACGUCGAAACACCAGUUCUCGUACGAUUACCGACGACCGAAGUUAAGCAGCGUUGAGCCUGGUCAAUACCUAGACUGGUGACCGCUUGUGAACGCCAGGUGCUGUAAG